UUCCAAGUAAGAGUGGUCAGGAAAGGCUUCACAUAUAGUUGGGUUUGAAGAUAAAGGAAGAAUUAGGAGAGAGGUUGUUUAGAAUGAGGCAUUUGAUAUGUCUGAUCAAGAUCAGCUGAUACCAUGCUUUAACAUAUAGCAAUGGUAUAGUUAAAAACAAAAGAAGAGGAGGAAGGGGAGAAGGCAGAUGUACUCAAAAGCAAGAUAAACGUCUUCAAGGAUGUAGUUGCAGGACAAUGGCUGGAAUCAGGGGCUGGCUUGCUGGGAUCUGUUCUUAGCAAACCAUUCUUGGGCCUGGGUCUUGAGGGUCUGUUCUUAGUGUAGAGGCACCAAGAGUUUGACUCCUUCAGCUAACAGAGUUUCACAGUGCUUUGCCUAUAGAGGAAGGCUGGAGCCAGGCUCUCUGCUUGAAACAGGGAUUUGGAUCUGAUUUUCUCUUGAUUGAAAGAGAGCCCACAGCCACCCAUGUAAGGCCUAGUUCUGACUGUGGGCCCUGGAAAGUCAGAGGCUACUUUAAAAAACUCAGGAAAAGAGAGAGUAAAGAGAGGAAGAGAUUUUCAAAAAUUUCUAUUCAAGAUAACCCUGCACACACACUCGAAAUUCAAAGUAUACAUAAAAAAGACUCAACAAGUGGAAUGUGAAUUCACUUCCAAAAAGAGGCAAAUUAUUGAACAAUUUGAAAAAUGUUUAAAACAAAGAGAACAACAAAUGUAGAAAAUGCAGAAAUUAAAGAAGAACAGUUGAAGAUGAUAAAUACUGAGCAUACUGGAAAUGAACACUCUACAUAUUAAACAAGGAUAUACUCUAGGUUGGACAUAGUUGAAGGGAUAAUUAAUGAAUUGGAAGCUAGCAUUGAGAAAUUCAUAGAGAAUGCAACACAGGGAGAUGAAGACAGAAGCAGUUUGAAAAAGCUGUUGAGAUGUAUAUUAGCAUGGUGAAGUGUUUAAUAGGAUUUCAGAAAGGGGAGAACAAAGGGAAUGUGGAGAAGAAAUAUGGGAAGAAAGCAUGGCUGAAAAUUUUUCACAAUUAAAGACAAACAUUCUCAGAUCAAAAAUACUCUUAGUGCCAAGUAUAAAAACAUAUACAUCUUUGCACAUAUCAAGGUGAAUUAUAAACAUCAAGAGUAAAGAGAAGAGGGCAUCCCAGGAAGCUAGGAUGUUUGAAAUAUAAUUGGGAGAAUCCUUGUUGCAGUUUGGAUUGGGCAGAGAGGGUAAGAAGCUGAACUGUAAUGGGGAAAAAUAUACACAUUUUGGUUACACCUUGCAUUGACUCUCUGUCAUCCCCUCCCUUGGUGCUGACACAUGCUUACUGUAAAACUGAUCCAAUGAUCCCAUAGAGUUGAUGUUUGUGGUUUCUUUGAAUAAACAUAUAAAUUGAUCCUUGCCUUCUUAAAACCUGAGAAAGUUACAUUUGUCUUAUCUGAGUUCCUUUCUAGGGAAACCAACUAUCAGGCCUCCCAGAUGGUAGCAAUGAGCUGAAACUCACCAGAUCACUUAUUAUGAACAAUAAGACGUCAGACUCUUCACCUGGUCUCACCGCAGAGGGGCACGCCAGCCAUGAGGACAGAUGAGGGAACACGUGAUGCCACGAUGGGGGUGCCAGGAUGAGGUUACACUGGCAUUCUCCCAAGUUUUUCAUCAAACUCAUGAAGCCUGCUGCUCCUUCAAUUCUCAAGGCGUUGGAGUGAGGCCGCCUGGGGUGAAUCGAAGCUUUCGGAUUUAUCAAAUGUGGUGUGAUUUCUAAGACGCCAUUGAGCCCUGCUAAAGGAGUUGCUAAUAUCCACCUCGUUCUGCGGUUAAGAAACCAACAGGAAAAAGAACGCACAACUCCCAGCACAGUGCUGGCGCCUGUGAGGCACUCAGCCGACGGGAGCUUUGUUCUUCGUUGUAUUGUGGCGGGGAAGCAACAUGGGGCCUUGUCCUGCGGACACACUUGAGUUAAGAUCACACUGGGGCUCCUUCAGGCCCUGGGCCAAGUUGGGGCACAGGCCGAGUUCGGUUGUUGCUGUAGCCUCAGAACCACCCAGAGUUGACUGAAGACACUCGGGGGCCUCCAUAACUGAGAGCAGGCAGAGGCAUUGUUUUUAACCCAGUGUGGACCCCCAAAUGGAACAUUUUCCUUCCCUAGGUGAACGCCUUCGGAACCCUCCGAAAAUCGCAGUUUCACUUUUAGCAAAGAGCCCCGCUGCAGCAGGGGAAAGCCCCCACAAACCCCGUCCUCUCCAAAGGGAAUGUUCCGAGCCCCCUGCUUCCUCCACCCUUCUCUUCCCCCUGGUUAAUUCCUUCGCUCCAGCUCGUUCUGCCUUCUUUCUUUCUUUGCCUUUUCGAGGCCCGCUCUUCUCUGAUUUUGAAGGGCUGGCGCAGGCUUGGGCACUUCUUUCAGGUUCUGUAUUGUAUGUCUGCCCUGUGGCUUCUCCUUUUGCAACUCCGAGCAACUCUGUGCUUGGAUUGCAGCUCCCAACAGUCCUGCCCUGACUUGCCCCAGUCACAGGGCAGAGAUGAACCAGGGACUGUACCCAGGGUUUUGAGUUCCUGCCAUAUUUAUAGCAUCAACUCUCCUUUAGCUCUUGGGAAAAAGGGUUUUAAAGUGCUGCAAUCUUCUAACACAAAAUUAUAUCAGUGCUGAAAAUGUGUUUUCCACUUAUACCCCAGCAGGAAAAAAAAAAAAGAUGAUAUCUGUUUCAGGUAAGAGUCAUGAUGACCUCAGAAAGCAAUAUCAGAAGCUAU
rnacentral:lncRNA from 1 species